rnacentral:lncRNA from 1 species
GUUCUGAAAAGCACCUUGUGGACUGAGCUAACUGCCUCUAGUGGAAAAGGCAGGAGAGAUGAAGCUAGGCUCUCAUUAUUUACUGCUGAUUAGCCCAGCAACUAGAAACACAAAGAGGAACAAGGUGAACUGGAUGCCAGCUACGAAAGAUAUAAGUACUGUAUAAAAGUCUCUUUACUGGAACAGACUCUUUUCUAGCCUUGGUGUUUCUAGAUUCUUGUCUACCAGAGUAAGCUCUAUCCAGUUUCUAAGGCCAGUACUGAAGUAUUUAAAUCCUCCCCAAUUUAAUUCUAAGGAUUUCAACAUUGCCACCUUCUACUCAUCAGCUACGUUUAACUUGAGACAAGAAUUAAGGUUGUUGCAGACCCAUACUGAUUCGUCGCUGGUGACUUGGAUACUCUCCACCACUUACUGUCAUGCGCGUCCAUGUGAAGAGACCACCAAACAAGCUUUGUGUGAGUAAUAAAGCUUUUUAAUCACCUGGGUGCAGGAAGGCUGAGUCCAAAAAGAGAGUCAGCGAAGGGAGUUAGGGGUUGGGCCGUUUUAUAGGAUUUGGGUAGGUAGUGGAAAUUUAUAGUCAAAGGGGGUUGUUCUCUGGCGGGCAGGGGCGGGGCUCACAAGGUGCUCAGUUGGGG